CUCGCUAGCUCUCCCAAACAUGGGCGGAGUGUAGCGUGGCCUUUUCAAACUCACCCGGCUGGCAAGCAGACUGGCUUUUGGAAGCAAACAAGACUGUUUUGAACCACUGCCAAAUGAGACAGCCUCUGCCGGCACAGCUGAAACUUUUUACAGCCUCCCCUCACUUCGACAGGAAGAGACACGGGGAGCAAAUUUGUAGGCAAGGGGGAAAAAAAACAGUAAAAUAAAUCUUUGUAGCGUCUGCAACUAAGGCAUUGCAUCAAGGAUUUCCUUCUGUGCUUUCACGCUCUCCUUCUUUGGCAAGGUGCCAUUUGAAAAAAAGAUGUUUAAAAGAGAUUUUUUUUUCUCUCUCUCUCUCUGGGAGGAUUGAACGGGGAACGGAUGUGCUAGGAAGUGAAGAGUUCAAUGAGUUCAGUAAAUGAGAGAUAUGUAAAUGCAUAAAUAACAAAGGAACUGUGACGUCAUGCACUGUGCUGCCCAAGACACUGCCUGCAAGCAGACGGGACAAAUGUGGACUCAUUUGACAAGAUACCAUUUGCGUCCUAUAUAGAGUAUUUCUGUUUUACAUCACAGAUUCUUGCACAGGAAGAGGACCAUGUGAUGUCUGCAACGACUGUGACGAAUGACAUGUUCUCUUUCAUGGUGAGGACUUGAGGACCUGACAAACUUUUAACACUAUGACUCCACUGAAAACUGCAACAACAUUUCUCAGUGCUUAUUUGCAUAGCGUUUUGCUACUCCUAACUAAAUGACUUCAUGCAAAGUGCAACACGGAUGAUGAUGUCAGACACGAGGUGAGUCGCAAAAGCAAAUGAAUCAGUCAGACAAAUGAGAUUAACCGAGUAUAGUGUCUUUAAGACUCUUUGAGGAAGUACUACGGACCGCUCAUGUCAUGUUUCUCUUCGUUUGACAUCCGAAACGCAGGCGGUGGCAGAACAGUCACUGGAUGUGUAUAAUGAUUAGCGCGGACUAUAACUGGAAGGAUCAAACUUCCUGGGACAGAUGCCAAAUGCUGACAAAGGAAAUCAUUGCAUUCUCAGGACAAGCAAAAUCAACUUUGUCCUCUUGCGCUUCUUUUGGGAGGGUUAUUUAUAAUUCCUCGUGGAACCACAUAAAGCAUGACUAAAUGCUGAAGGGGUUGGUCACAUGCUUUGGCUAAAUGCAUAAAAAAAUCAUGUAAUCAUUAUCCUGUUUUGAAUCCGGUGUAACUCUGGACCCAUUCAGCUGAUCGAGAGUUUCCAUUAAAUAAUCAAUUCUGAGCCCUUAUUUUGCAGACUGUAUACUAGGAGAAACUGUGACUGGGAAAGAGGGGUACAACCUGACCUUCUCACAUUCCCAUAAAACAAGUUUGUCAAGUUUUGCGUGCUAGAUUAACACAGACGGUAGCAAUAACUGUGCCUUUAUGGGCACUUUGUGAUUUUCAGCAUGCCAAAUCCUCUCUUCCUGAUCUCUGAUUUCUUUUACGUUACUCAAACUCCCUUACUUUCUCCACCUCCUCUCUCCCUCUCUGAGCUUCGGUCUUUCACUUCGCAUCCUGUGCCAAAGUGGGCAGGGAGAAAGAACUCGUGGUGAGGUGGGUGAAACGGAGGCCGCUGUACGUGCUCUUUCUUCAGCCACAACCCCGAGGAAGAGCAUGUUUGGUGGUAGCACGUUUCUAGGUCUCUCUCCCCGAGAUAGGCGUAGUAUGUGCAUGAGUCUACUCUUCUCGCCGCCAUGACCCUGCCUUGUGUUCUUGGAUUUUGAAGCCUCUAGUCUGCAGGAAUCCAGCAGUCUGCUGUCUGGCUGGUGGACAUCUGUUCUGCUGUCCUUGGGGCUGAGGUAGUAGAUUGGAUAGUUGUGGAGCCCUGUGCUCUCUCACUGAGAUAACUAUACAAUCUACUGUCUUUCCUAAGGCGACAGCCAAAUCAUCCACAAACAACAUGGACUCGUUUGAAAAACUGUCUGCAUUCGGCCAGUGAGUCGGAAAGGAUAUUCACUCACAUUACAGAAGUAAAAUGGGCUGGGAUUACAUACGCAAACAUGUCAGGUGCUGGGACUGUCCUUUGGUGUCCUGACAGGGUGAGGUAGUAGGUUGUAUAGUUUGGUGGGAGGGAUCAAUCCCUGUUCAGGUGAUAACUAUACAGUCUAUUGCCUUCCUUGUUGUACCAGCUAUCUGUCUGCUAGUGGAAACUCCCUGGAGUUUAAAUAUUGCUUAAACCCUAUGGCCUGUUUCACACCACAUUAACUAUGUAUAUGUAAGCAGAGUGUUUAUUUCGGCACCCGUAUUUACAGGUUACAGCGUUCACACUGCCUGCAUAAACAGAGCAGUGUAGCAUGAGUAAUACACUGAAGUUGGUCUUCAAAAAAAUAAAUAAAAGGAACAACUUUUAUGAAGCAGCAAAGUAAUAGAGCAACCUCCCUAAAAGAAGCAUGCUUUAAUCAGUAAAUCUGAAACAUGUUCUAUUGAGUGAAUCUGACUGAAUCAAGAAGAGUCAAGCAGUUUGAAAAGUUUGGGGUCGGUAAAAAAUAAAUAAAAAGCUUAAGAAAUAAAAACUAUGCAUUUAAAUCAUCAGAAAUGACAGUUAAGACUUUUAUAAUGUUAUAAAAGAUUUCAAUCAUGGAUUGUAUAUAUCUGAGAAUCCUGAAUCAUAGGGCCCUAUCAUAAACUCGGCAUAAUGUGGCCCCAGGUGCGACGCAAGUGUUUUCAUUUUCACAUACUGCGUCAUGUUGUUUAAAUAGCAAAUUAAUUUGUGCCCAUUUGUGCGCCAUUUUUUUUUUUUUUUUUGUUAACAAAACGCUUAAAUUUAAAAACGUUAAUUACACAUACACAAAUUAAGAAUUAAAGUAUUAAAAUGUAAAAGAUUAUUAUUGUGUACAUCAAUAUAAAAAUGCCUACAUGUCAAAAUGGAUAGUUUUUGCAUGAAUCAGAAUUCUGCGCUCGAGCAGAUCCUUACUAGAGAAGCGUUCAGUUUUUCUGCUUGCAAAUUCUGCCAAACAGCAAAUCCGCAUUGACACGAGCGCAACUGGCUUUUAAAAGGAAUGGGAGAUGAGACUGUGAUUGGUUUAUUGCACGUUAUGCCCAAAACACACCCAUUACUCAUUAAAAGAAAAGGGACAACCCUUUUAGACCAUGGACCGUGUGCACUGAGUUCUUUCCCCUUCCUUAAACUAUCAAAAAUGGAUUCGUAAACACCCUAAACGUAAUUGCGCUGUGCGCUUUGGACCAUGCGUUUAGAACAUUAAAUAGGGUCCAUAGUAUCCAACGAAAAGAAUAAAAAAAUAAAAAAGUUUUGAACAAUUGUCACUCAGAAAUAUAGAAAAUUGUACAAUUAAUUACAAAGAAAAGACAAGUGACAUUGAAUUAAAGUGAAAUGUUGAAGAGAAAAGACAGAAAUAGAAUUUCCUUUUAAAAUGUACUCCAAUAAUCUCAAAUAAAUUUUUCUUUUCUUUUCUUUUUUUCAGUGGUUGAUAAUGAUCAGAAAUGUUUCUUGAGCAGUAAAUCAGCAUAUCAAAAUGAUUUCUGAAGGAUAAUGUGACAUGGCUUUGAUCACAGAAAUAAGUUACAUUUAACUGUUUUAUAUAUUCUGUUUUCUUUCUUUUCUUUCCUUUCUUUCUUUCAUAUUUCUUUCUUUUUUUAAUGAAAUGAAUGUGACCUUGGUUAGCAUAAGAGACUUGAAUGAAAUGUAAAAAUUCUCACUGAGCUCAAGUUUUGAAUGGUAGUGUAGAUUUAAUGAUGGUCAAUGCUGUGAUAGUUCUCACUCCACCAAACAAUUUCUAGGUUAUGGUCAUUCAUUCAAGGAGAUGCUUCGUACAGUAAGCUAGAAAUCACUUUGUUGUACAGAACAACACGACUGUUGCAGCUUUGUGUGUUUGUGUGCAUUGUGAAACAGGGCUUACACUUUACCUAACAAGCCUGAACAACAUCCAUUCCUCUGCUGCAGGCUUAACAUGCUGAUCCGGUACAUGAAGAGAGAAAUCAGAUUAAAAGAGAUUUACUACACUCUGAUUUAUGGCUUAAUCAAUAAUUUAGCAUUUCUGUUGGCUUGUGAUCAAACAGGAUUUUCACACAUCAUAACAGGAAAUUCAUUUUCAGUCAGACAAUGCAUGUGGCCUUGUUCAGAGAAUGAAUGAAUGAAUGUAUAUAUAUAAACAGCAAAAUAUGCAUAACGUGUUUUUGUUCUAUGAAUAAAAUAUAGUUUUAUUUAACUC